UGUAACGACGGGCCAGUCGCGGGGGGAAUCCGUGGGGGUCGGGGGUUGGACGUAAUUAUUGGGCGGAAAGAUGUCGUAGGCGGCCGGUCGCGUCGGAUGUGAAAGCCCGGGGCUUAACCCCGGGUCUGCAUUCGAUACGGGCAGGCUAGAGUGUGGUAGGGGAGAUCGGAAUUCCUGGUGUAGCGGUGAAAUGCGCAGAUAUCAGGAGGAACACCGGUGGCGAAGGCGGAUCUCUGGGCCAUUACUGACGCUGAGGAGCGAAAGCGUGGGGAGCGAACAGGAUUAGAUACCCCAGUAGUC
rnacentral:rRNA from 1 species